CUAAAAGCUGGUCUAGUUCACCUAGUGAGUGUUGAUAUUUUGGGUCUGAGUGA
rnacentral:snoRNA from 1 species